rnacentral:rRNA from 1 species
AACGAACGCUGGCGGCAUGCCUAACACAUGCAAGUCGAACGAGACCUUCGUGUCUUGUGGCGCUCCGCGGCUUGCCGAGGGGGGAGCUGCCCGUAGGUUCCCAAUCCCUCACCGUGGGGUGUCCUCAUAAAGCUUGAUCUCUUCCGACCUAAGAUCUAUCGCUUUUGGAUGGGCGCGCGUUAGAUUCGCGAGUUGGUAGGGGAAUAGCAUACCAACGGGACGAUGCAUAGCUGGUCGGGGAGGAUGAUCCGCUACACUGGGACUGAGACACGGCCCAGACUCGUACGGGAGGCAGCAGUGGGGAAUAUUGGACACGGGGCGAUAGCCUGAUACCGCAACGCCGCGGGAGUGAUGAAGGCCUUAGGGUUGUAAAGCUCUUUUAGCCGGGAUGAUAAUGACAGUACCGGGAGAAUAAGCACCGGCUAACUCCGUG